GACGAACGCUGGCGGCGUGCUUAACACAUGCAAGUCGAACGGUAAGGCCCUUCGGGGUACACGAGUGGCGAACGGGUGAGUAACACGUGGGUGAUCUGCCCUGCACUUCGGGAUAAGCCUGGGAAACUGGGUCUAAUACCGGAUAGGACUCCGGACUGCAUGGUCUGGGGUGGAAAGCUUUUGCGGUGUGGGAUGGGCCCGCGGCCUAUCAGCUUGUUGGGGGGGUGAUGGCCUACCAAGGGGACGACGGGUAGCCGGCCUGAGAGGGUGACCGGCCACACUGGGACUGAGAUACGGGCCAGACUCCUACGGGAGGCAGCAGUGGGGAAUAUUGCACAAUGGGCGCAAGCCUGAUGCAGCGACGCCGCGUGAGGGAUGACGGCCUUCGGGUUGUAAACCUCUUUCAGCAUCGACGAAGCGAAAGUGACGGUAGGUGCAGAAGAAGGACCGGCCAACUACGUGCCAGCAGCCGCCGUAA
rnacentral:rRNA from 1 species